GAUCAUGGCUCAGGAUGAACGCUAGCUACAGGCUUAACACAUGCAAGUCGGAGGGGGCAGCAUGGUCUUAGCUUGCUAAGGCCGAUGGCGACCGGCGCACGGGUGAGUAACACGUAUCCAACCUGCCGUCUACUCUUGGACAGCCUUCUGAAAGGAAGAUUAAUACAAGACGGCAUCAUGAGUUCACAUGUUCACAUGAUUAAAGGGUAUUCCGGUAGACGAUGGGGA
rnacentral:rRNA from 1 species